rnacentral:rRNA from 1 species
UGGGGAAUAUUGCACAAUGGGCGCAAGCCUGAUGCAGCCAUGCCGCGUGUAUGAAGAAGGCCUUCGGGUUGUAAAGUACUUUCAGCGGGGAGGAAGGGAGUAAAGUUAAUACCUUUGCUCAUUGACGUUACCCGCAGAAGAAGCACCGGCUAACUCCGUGCCAGCAGCCGCGGUAAUACGGAGGGUGCAAGCGUUAAUCGGAAUUACUGGGCGUAAAGCGCACGCAGGCGGUUUGUUAAGUCAGAUGUGAAAUCCCCGGGCUCAACCUGGGAACUGCAUCUGAUACUGGCAAGCUGGAGUCUCGUAGAGGGGGGUAGAAUUCCAGGUGUAGCGGUGAAAUGCGUAGAGAUCUGGAGGAAUACCGGUGGCGAAGGCGGCCCCCUGGACGAAGACUGACGCUCAGGUGCGAAAGCGUGGGGAGCAAACA